rnacentral:rRNA from 1 species
UACGUAGGGUGCGAGCGUUGUCCGGAAUUAUUGGGCGUAAAGAGCUCGUAGGCGGCCUGUCGCGUCGGAUGUGAAAGCCCGGGGCUUAACCCCGGGUCUGCAUUCGAUACGGGCAGGCUAGAGUGUGGUAGGGGAGAUCGGAAUUCCUGGUGUAGCGGUGAAAUGCGCAGAUAUCAGGAGGAACACCGGUGGCGAAGGCGGAUCUCUGGGCCAUUACUGACGCCGAGGAGCGAAAGCGUGGGGAGCGAACAGG